rnacentral:rRNA from 1 species
AUUGAACGCUGGCGGCAUGCUUUACACAUGCAAGUCGAACGGUAACAGGCCUUCGGGGCGCUGACGAGCGGCGCACGGGUGCGUAACGCGUAUGCAACCUACCUCAUACGAGGGGGAUAGCCCGGAGAAAUCUGGAUUAAUACCCCAUGGCAUCCCGGAGUCGCAUGGCUUCCGGGAUUAAAGAUUCAUCGGUAUGAGAUGGGCAUGCGUCUGAUUAGCUAGUUGGCGGUGUAACGGACCACCAAGGCGACGAUCAGUAGGGGUUCUGAGAGGAAGGUCCCCCACACUGGCACUGAGAUACGGGCCAGACUCCUACGGGAGGCAGCAGUAGGGAAUAUUGGGCAAUGGACGAGAGUCUGACCCAGCCAUGCCGCGUGCAGGAAGACGGCGUUCUGCGUUGUAAACUGCUUUUAUCUGGGAAGAAAAGGCCCAUGCGUGGGACAUUGCCGGUACCAGAUGAAUAAGCACCGGCUAACUCCGUG